UCAAUAUUAAUGGCCUAAUCAGAACUCAGCAAUUUAACGAUUCAAUUAAUUCACGAUCCUCCUCCAUGUCACAACCGAGUAUAUGGCACAUGGAGAUGGAGUAAACCAGUGCCGCCGAUGAUCAUGUCAACCAAAGAUAAGAAACCGCGUGAAGCUUAAGCCAUAAACCAUACGCCAUAUAGAUGCGUAACCUUCGAGGAAUUUCGUAAAAUUUACAGUUCGUCCCAUUAUGUCUGUUGUCUAUUAAAUUAGUUAUCAAAUUAAUUAAUUGAUUAUUACACGGAACGUACAAGCGCCCGCGACUAAAUACAUCAGUAAAACACUUUCAAUAAAUUACAGUGAACGAAACCAAACACGAAUAGAAUGCAACGGAAGGUAACGAUAGCGGAAAACAUUCCGGUAUCUCACUAAAUAAAGUAAAGUACGCAACACUAUCCGUUGAUAAUAAUUACAAAUUAUCCUUAGUUGGUAACCAUCCGCAGCACCGGCAGCCAAAUAUUAUCGGCCACAAGCAUUCUACUUAUUUACCAUACAAUACUCGGCCGUUCAUCCCGUAACGGUUAUCCACCGACCAACUAUCCGCCGCGCAGCAGUUACCCACCGCGCGCCAGAUAUCUGCUACAUCUCAGUUACCGACAGCUAAACUAUCCGUCGCGCAACCGCGCCAUCCUAGGAAGCCAUACUUACCAUCAGACUUACCAUAAAAGAUAAGUCCGAUAUCCAAUACUAUUCACGGAAAGGUAAUUAUAAACGGACAAAUAAGACCCCAGACGGAUUAAAAUCAUGAAUAAAUCAAUUAAUAAAACAUUACCACGACUCACGGGAAAGGUAAUUAUAAAAGCAAACGGGCAACAAAUAGAACCCCAGACGGAUUAAAAUCAAGAAUAAAUCAAUUAAUAAAACAAUACCACGGCUAUCAUUUAUUAUUUAUAAAUAUAUAAAUCAUACGUUUGCAAUAGUGUAGGAUGAAGUAAAUGUUAAGUAUAAACAAUGAUGAAGAUAGAAUGAAAUGAAAGAAAUGAAAUCAACCCGAAUAAGAUCCGCAGAUUGCAGGACGCAUCAUGUUACUGCCUAUCGCGCCGCAGGAAACAAACUACGCAGAACAACGAAACAAAGAAACCACCACAGAACGAAAGGCUGAAUAAAUAAACGAAUGAAACAUUCAACCUAAACAGAAUCGAAAUCAAAUAUAGCCAUCUCACAACGUCAGAUAACGCAUAUAGUCAGGAAAGUCACGUAGGACCAAUCAUGUAACACCCAGUCAGUUAAUAAAUAAAUGUAACCAAAGUAGAAUCAAAGCAACCAAGGCAGCAGGUAACUAGCAGAAAGGAAAUAUAAAAGAAAAGAAGAGAAAAGAAACAAACAAGGAACAGCACACCGUCAUCAAAGAGCUAUACUAUUAUCGAAGAGAAACGGCUUGAAUAAAUUGAAUUAAAGAAUACCAGAGAAGAAUAUCAAAAUGUCAAAAUGUCCAAGGAAUGUCCAAGGAUAGAGGUGACAAGAAAUAAAAUAAAAUAAAUGAUGGUAGACAGUGAUACGUGGCACAAAUAAAUUAAAA